GGUUCCAUGGUGUAGCGGUUAGCACGUCUGCUUUACACACAGAAGGUCCUGGGGUCACGCCCCAGUGGAGCCA
rnacentral:tRNA from 1 species